rnacentral:tRNA from 1 species
GCCCACGUAGCUCAGUUGGUAGAGCAACGGUUUUGUAAACCGUAGGUCGUCAGUUCGAAUCUGACCGUGGGCU